UCAUCGCAUCCUGGGGCUGUAGUCGGUCCCAAGGGUUGGGCUGUUCGCCCAUUAAAGCGGUACGCGAGCUGGGUUCAGAACGUCGUGAGACAGUUCGGUCCCUAUCCGUCGUGGGCGUAGGAAAUUUGAGAGGAGCUGUCCUUAGUACGAGAGGACCGGGAUGGACAUACCUCUGGUGUACCAGUUGUCGUGCCAACGGCAUAGCUGGGUAGCUAUGUGUGGACGGGAUAAGUGCUGAAAGCAUCUAAGCAUGAAGCCCCCCUCAAGAUGAGAUUUCCCAACUUCG
rnacentral:rRNA from 1 species